rnacentral:rRNA from 1 species
AUUGAACGCUGGCGGCAUGCUUUACACAUGCAAGUCGAACGGCAGCGCGGGGCAACCUGGCGGCGAGUGGCGAACGGGUGAGUAAUACAUCGGAACGUACCCAGAAGUGGGGGAUAACGUAGCGAAAGUUACGCUAAUACCGCAUACGUUCUACGGAAGAAAGUGGGGGACCUUCGGGCCUCAUGCUUUUGGAGCGGCCGAUGUCUGAUUAGCUAGUUGGUAGGGUAAAGGCCUACCAAGGCGACGAUCAGUAGCUGGUCUGAGAGGACGACCAGCCACACUGGGACUGGGACACGGCCCAAACUCCUACGGGAGGCAGCAGUGGGGAAUUUUGGACAAUGGGCGCAAGCCUGAUCCAGCGAUGCCGCGUGAGUGAAGAAGGCCUUCGGGUUGUAAAGCUCUUUUGUCAGGGAAGAAACGGCUGAGGAUAAUACCUUCGGCUAAUGACGGUACCUGAAGAAUAAGCACCGGCUAACUACGUGCCAGCCGCCGCAGUAACAC